UGGGGAAUUUUUGACAAUGGGGGAAACCCUGAUCCAGCCAUCCCGCGUGUGCGAUGAAGGCCUUCGGGUUGUAAAGCACUUUUGGCAGGAAAGAAACGUCAUGGGUUAAUACCCCGUGAAACUGACGGUACCUGCAGAAUAAGCACCGGCUAACUACGUGCCAGCAGCCGCGGCAAUACGUAGGGUGCAAGCGGUAAGCGGAAUUACUGGGCGUAAAGCGUGCGCAGGCGGUUCGGAAAGAAAGAUGUGAAAUCCCAGAGCUCAACUUUGGAACUGCAUUUUUAACUACCGGGCUAGAGUGUGUCAAAGGGAGGUGGAAUUCCGCGUGUAGCAGUGAAAUGCGUAGAUAUGCGGAGGAACACCGAUGGCGAAGGCAGCCUCCUGGGAUAACACUGACGCUCAUGCACGAAAGCGUGGGGAGCAAACAGG
rnacentral:rRNA from 1 species